GUCUUCUGGGAAGGCUUUCUACUAGGAUUUGGAGUGUGGUUGUGGGGAUUUGUGUUCAUUCAGUUACAAGAGCAUUAGUGACGCCAGGCACUGAUGUCAGGUGAGGAGACCAGGCACACAGUCAGGUGUUUAGUGGGGUUGAAGUCAGGGCUCUGUGCAGGCCACUUGAGUUCUUUCAGACCAAGCAUGGCAAACAUGUCUUGAAGGAGUUCAGUUUGUGCCCAUGGGGAAUAUCAUGCUGGAACACAUUUGGGCCUCUUAGUUCCAGUGGAAUUGUAAUGCUACAGCAUACAAAGACAUCCUAUACAGCUGUGUGCUUCCAACUAUGUUGCAACAGUGUGAGGAAGAAUCACACAUGGGUGUGAAGGUCAAGUGUCCACAUACUUUUGGCCUUAUAGUGUACUUUGAGGGUUGCGAUAACUACAAAUACUCCUCAGCACUUUGGUAAACAGUAAACCGACCCUAUUUUCUGUCCCACCUGAUCUGUGAGAUGUAGGCUAAUCGGGUGCUUUGUUUCAGCCCCUCGUAUUAUUUAAUCAGAUUCUGGAAAAAGCCAAUUAGCUCACUGGGACACUCGCUUAUGUCAUGGGAAUACAGGCCCGGUGAGCUCAGACUACUUCUUUUAAAGUGACCAAUAGGAGAAAAAGGAGGUUGGCACCUAUUUUAGAAUUUAGAUUUUAAAUGGCAAUUUCCAUCCCUUAAGUGGAAAAUUUUAACCGCCUGUUUUCUUUGUUAAGGCUGAUUUGAAGCCAGUGGUAUGUGAAACAUAAGCAAGUGGUUGUAAAAUGCGUGGGGGAGGGAACGUGGCUGCAUGAGACACCAGAAAUAAACUCCAGUCAUUCUGACGGUGAGGAUUCAUGUGAUCUCACCCUCCCCACACUGGUCCGUUCAGAAGAGAGAGAGAGAGAGAGAGAGAUUUUGGCUUGUGGCCAUGCGCACGAGAGCCUGGUCACGUCCCACUGCAGAAAAUCUCCCCCUAACCGACCAACCAUGCUGCAGAUUUCUGACAGGACGCCCUGAUAUGUGCAAAACCACUCCCCCAUUGCCAGAUGACGUUGCCAUAACAACCUCUCUGUCUCACUAGUGCGCUGAUGUGGAGAGCCAGCAGUGGGAGGGGCUAUGCAAAUCAAGGCAAGAGGAGAAAGUCACAUUGAGCUCUGGUUUGGUGACGAAACCAGGAUGUGUUUGAAAAGCUAUACGACGUAUUAAUGAGUUUACUCAGUGCGUCAUUAAAAAUAAUACCGGGGAGAGUAAAAAAAAAGAAAUGGAUUCCAGUGAGGUUUGAUCUUUAUUAGGCAUUUUGUGUUGAAGGAUUUUCAUCCAUUCAGAUGUAGAUCUAGCGAGAUAGAGAUAGCGCGAGAGAAAGAAAGAGGGGCCAGGAACACAGUGAGGGCUGCUUUUAAUCAGCUUGUCACUGUCCCCACGUGACUGCUCGGCUUUUACCUGGAGUCAUAACUACAGCAGGGAUCAGCGGUCUCGCUAAGCCGAGCACGUCGGAUUAAGUGACAGCUGGAAACUGAUGUGGAAGUAAAAGGGGGGCAGCUGGAGAAUGAGAUCGGCCUGCACUAACACACCUGACUCAAGUCAUCAGGACUUCCUGAGGUUAGAACUGGAAAUGCACUGAAAGACUGAAGAACUGAGGAGACACCACAUGGCCUAAAGUGUCUUCAGGCAUAAAUGAACCUCAACAGAGGUAAGGGAAGCGCCACACGUUCCCCAGACCGACCGCGAAGCCCACGCAGGACAUGAUGAAGUCCAUCUGCCGGCUCCAUGUCUCUCUCGCCGGCCGCACGCGCAUGUUCUCGCCGAUCAGAGCGCCGUUCACGGCCUGGUGGUUCCCGUUGGGAAUGAGGUGGCCUUUCUUCUCCUCCGCCAUCACCACCCCGCAGCAUUCUGUCCCCAUAUCCUCCACGCAACAGUCUGCUCCGAGUGCGGUCUUCUCGCUCUUCUCCAUCCUAAACACACGUGUAUAUGCACACACACUCUCACACACACACACACACUCAAAGAGCCCUAAUAAGACUGGGACAAAAUAAAAAAGAGAGGGAAAA